rnacentral:rRNA from 1 species
UACGUAGGGGGCUAGCGUUGUCCGGAAUCAUUGGGCGUAAAGAGCGUGUAGGCGGCCCGGUAAGUCCGCUGUGAAAGUCGGGGGCUCAACCCUGGGAUGCCGGUUGAUACUGCCGGACUAGAGUUCGGAAGAGGCGAGUGGAAUCCCGGUGUAGCGGUGAAAUGCGGCAGAUAUCGGGAGGAACACCAAUGGCGAAGGCAGCUCGCUGGGACGUUACUGACGCUGGAGACGCGAAAGCGGUGGGGAGCAAACAGG